CCUACGGGUGGCAGCAGUAGGGAAUAUUGCUCAAUGGGGGAAACUCUGACGCAGCAACGCCGCGUGGAGGAUGAAGGUUUUCGGAUUGUAAAACCCUUUUGUUAGAGAAGAAAAAGACGGUAUCUAACGAAUAAGCACCGGCUAACGCCGUGCCAGCAGCCGCGGUAAUACGGCGGGUGCACGCGUUACUCGGAAUCAAUGGGCGUAACGAGCGCGUAGGCGGGUGCGCAAGUAAGAUGUGAAUUCCUAUGGCUUAACCAUAGAGGUGCAUUUGAAACUGGUAUUCUAGAGUAUGGGAGAGGUAAGUGGAAUUCUUGGUGUAGGGGUGAAAUGCGUAGAGAUAAAGAGGAAUACUAGUUGCGAAGGCGACCCGCUGGAACGUAACUGACGCUGAGGCUCGAAAGCGUGGGGAGCAAACAGGAUUAGAUACCCGGGUAGUC
rnacentral:rRNA from 1 species